rnacentral:rRNA from 1 species
AGCGAACGCUGGCGGCAGGCCUAACACAUGCAAGUCGAACGAACCCUUCGGGGUUAGUGGCGGACGGGUGAGUAACACGUGGGAACGUGCCUUUAGGUUCGGAAUAACUCAGGGAAACUUGUGCUAAUACCGAAUGUGCCCUUCGGGGGAAAGAUUUAUCGCCCUUAGAGCGGCCCGCGUCUGAUUAGCUAGUUGGUGAGGUAAUGGCUCACCAAGGCUACGAUCAGUAGCUGGUCUGAGAGGACGACCAGCCACAUUGGGACUGAGACACGGCCCAAACUCCUACGGGAGGCAGCAGUGGGGAAUCUUGCGCAAUGGGCGAAAGCCUGACGCAGCCAUGCCGCGUGGAUGAUGAAGGUCUUAGGAUUGUAAAAUCCUUUCACCGGUGAAGAUAAUGACUGUAGCCGGAGAAGAAGCCCCGGCUAACUUCGUGCCAGCCGCCGCAGUAAUAC